GGUGCAGGCCUGUGAUCUUUCUUUCUUGUCUGCGGCGUUUUCUUGCUGGUUGUCCGGUGUAAUCGGGGUUCAUCCGAUGUCGGCCCAUCGCGGGUCGUCCGGUUUGCUACCAUACGUGGUUAGCGUGGCCGGUGCGUACAGAAUGGUUGUUGGAGUGGAACACACCUGGGCUACCACAGGCACCUCGUGCAGACGUUUCCAGCCUUCGGUCUCCUGACCUCUGCGGUUUGCUGCCAGCAGGAAUCUGACUUUGAAUGGAACAGGAGGAGUCCCAGUGUGGAAAAGGAUUGGUCAGGAGCCACGUGUCACAAGGUAGUAAGUGGAUUGAUGACACAGCCUGAUGUUUUCUCCUGGCUUGUCUGUCCUCUCUAGUAGUAAAUUUCUCAACCAUGAACUUUGAAUACAAGGCCCCUU